rnacentral:lncRNA from 1 species
AAAUUCUGGGCUUUGGGAAUUUGGGACGGGAUUUGGCAAUUUCUGGGUUUUGGGAAUUCUGGGAAUUCGGGGAUUUGAGAUUUGGGAUGGGAUUCAGGAUUUGGGAAUUUCCGGGCUUUGGGAACUCGGGGAUUUGGGAAUUCUGGGAAUUGGGAAUUCUGGGAUUUGGGAAUUGGGAAUUCUGGGAUUUGGAAAUUGGGAAUUUCCGGGCUUUGGGAACUUGGGGAGUUGGGAAUUCUGGGCUUUGGGAAUUCUGGGAAUUCUGGGAUUUGGGAAUUGGCAAUUUCUGGGGUUUGGGAAUUGGGAAUUUGGGGAUUUGGGAAUUGGCAAUUUCUGGGAUUUGGGAAUCGGGAGUUCAGGGAUUUGGGAUGGGAUUUGGGAAUUCGGGGCGUUGGGAAUUGGGAAUUCCGGGCUUUGGGACCUGGGAUGGGAUUUGGGAUUUGGCAAUUGGGAAUCUGGGAAUUCGAGGAUUUGGGAAUUGGGAAUUCGGGGAUUUGGGAAUUGGGAUGGGAUUUGGGAAUGGGGAAUUCGAGGAUUUGGGAUCUGGGAUGGGAUUUGGGAAUGGGGAAUUUGGGGAUUUGGGAAUUGGGAAUUCCGGGACCUGGGAUGGGAUUUGGGAAUUCGGGGCUUUGGGAAUUGGGAAUUCUGGGCUUUGGGACCUGGGGUGGGAUUUGGGAAUGGGGAAUUCGGGGAUUUGGGAAUUCUGGGACCUGGGAUGGGAUUUGGGAUUUGGGAUUUGGAAUUUGGGAAUUGGGAAUUCCGGGCUUUGGGACCUGGGAUGGCAUUUGGGAUUUGGGAUUUGGCAAUUGGGAAUCUGGGAAUUUGGGGAUUUGGGAAUUGGGAAUUCGGGGCGUUGGGAAUUGGGAAUUCGGGGAUUUGGGAAUUGAGAAUUCUGGGACAUGGGAUGGGAUUUGGGAAUUCGGGGCUUUGGGAAUUGAGAAUUCCGGGACCUGGGAUGGGAUUUGGGAUUUGGGAUUUGGAAUUUGGGAAUCUGGGAAUUCGGGGAUUUGGGAAUUCGGGGCAUUGGGAAUUGGGAAUUUCGGGCUUUGGGAUUUGGGAUGGGAUUUGGGAAUGGGGAAUUUCUGGGACCUGGGGUGGGAUUUGGGAAU